AAUGCACCAAUUUGUAAGUCGCUCUGGAUAAGAUCGUCUGCUAAAUGACUUAAA
rfam:Salmo salar isolate Sally breed double haploid chromosome ssa10, whole genome shotgun sequence.